ACCUAGCCCUGAUUGAGGUGAUAUCCUUUUGUGGCAGGGUUUGCCAUAAAAGAUAUAGCCGAAAGCAGGAACCCAU
rfam:Flavobacterium sp. CF136 PMI10_contig18.18, whole genome shotgun sequence.